rnacentral:tRNA from 1 species
GUUUUUAUAGUUGAAAAACAACGGUGGUUUUUCAAGCCGUUAGUCUGGGUUAAAGUCCCGGUAGAAACU